AGAGUCUGAAUCAGCUUGUGUGUUAGUGGAACGGUCUGGAAAGUCCGACGGUACAGGGUGAUAGUCCCGUACACCAAAAUGCACAGGCUGUGAACUCGAAGAGUAGGGCGGGACACGUGGUAUCCUGUCUGAAUAUGGGGGGACCAUCCUCCAAGGCUAAAUACUCCUGACUGACCGAUAGUGAACCAGUACCGUGAGGGAAAGGCGAAAAGAACCCCGGCGAGGGGAGUGAAAAAGAACCUGAAACCGUGUACGUACAAGCAGUGGGAGCACCUUCGGGUGUGACUGCGUACCUUUUGUAUAAUGGGUCAGCGACUUAUAUUCUGUAGCAAGGUUAACCGUAUAGGGGAGCCGCAGGGAAACCGAGUCUUAACUGGGCGUUAAGUUGCAGGGUAUAGACCCGAAACCCGGUGAUCUAGCCAUGGGCAGGUUGAAGGUUGGGUAACACUAACUGGAGGACCGAACCGACUAAUGUUGAAAAAUUAGCGGAUGACUUGUGGCUGGGGGUGAAAGGCCAAUCAAACCGGGAGAUAGCUGGUUCUCCCCGAAAGCU
rnacentral:rRNA from 1 species